CAAGUACUCCCUCCGUCCGGAAUUACUUGCCAUCAAAAUGGAUGUGUCUAGAACUAAAAUACAUCUAGAUACAUCCAUUUCAAUGACAAGUAUUUUUGGACGGAGGGAGUACAAG
rnacentral:pre_miRNA from 1 species